UCUAUCAGCCUGCAGGUCUGCUUAGGAUC
rnacentral:piRNA from 1 species